GAACGCACAUUGCGCCCGCCAGCAUUCUGGCGGGCAUGCCUGUUCGAGCGUCAUUUCAACCCUCAAGCUCUGCUUGGUGUUGGGGCCCUACGGUUGACGUAGGCCCUUAAAGGUAGUGGCGGACCCUCUCGGAGCCUCCUUUGCGUAGUAACUAACGUCUCGCAUUGGGAUUCGGAGGGACUCUUGCCGUAAAACCCCCAAAUUUUCUAAUGGUUGACCUCGGAUCAGGUAGGAAUACCCGCUGAACUUA
rnacentral:misc_RNA from 1 species